UAUGGUAAUUGUGCCAGCAGCCGCGGUCCUACGUAUGGUGCAAGCGUUAUCCGGAUUUCCUGGGUGUAAAGGGAGCGCAGGCGGAAGGCUAAGUCUGAUGUGAAAGCCCGGGGCUCAACCCCGGUACUGCAUUGGAAACUGGUCAUCUAGAGUGUCGGAGGGGUAAGUGGAAUUCCUAGUGUAGCGGUGAAAUGCGUAGAUAUUAGGAGGAACACCAGUGGCGAAGGCGGCUUACUGGACGAUAACUGACGCUGAGGCUCGAAAGCGUGGGGAGCAAACAGG
rnacentral:rRNA from 1 species